AAAAAGACAAACCCUAGGUUUCUGUGUCCAACGUUUGAUUGUCCGUCUUAUAGGAAUUUUUUUUUAUAAUUAUUAUUUUCAUUGUUGUUAGAUGAUAAAACAUGAUUAAUACUUUAUGCGUGACUUGUCUUUUUAAUUUUUUCAAAUAAGACGGACGGUUAAACGUUGGAUACGAAAACCCAGGGUUUGUCUUUUU
rfam:Oryza sativa (indica cultivar-group) chromosome 11, whole genome shotgun sequence.